rnacentral:rRNA from 1 species
GACAGAGGAUGCAAGCGUUAUCCGGAAUGAUUGGGCGUAAAGCGUCUGUAGGUGGCUUUUUAAGUCCGCCGUCAAAUCCCAGGGCUCAACCCUGGACAGGCGGUGGAAACUACCAAGCUGGAGUACGGUAGGGGCAGGAGGGAAUUUCCGGUGGAGCGGUGAAAUGCGCAGAUAUCAGGAGGAACACCGAUGGCGAAGGCAGGUCUCUGGGCCGAUACUGACGCUGAGGAGCGAAAGCGUGGGGAGCGAACAGG